AUGGAUGCCCGCUCGGUCGAGAAGAAAACCCUCGAGGAAGAGAUUCACCUUGUGAAUCUGGGAGUCGACAUUGUCAUGACGCGGACUGGUUUCCUCCACACCGUGGUUGAUAUUGGCAUCGUCGUCCCCGGCUUUCUUGAGGUGGCAGGCGGGUAUGUGGCAGAUUCUUUUCAGUCUCCAGGGGGACCCGAGCAGUCGCAGCCUGAUACUGAAGUGCACCCUCAGCCCGAAGAGCAGCCUUAG